rnacentral:rRNA from 1 species
CCUACGGGAGGCAGCAGUGAGGAAUAUUGGUCAAUGGGCGCGAGCCUGAACCAGCCAAGUCGCGUGAGGGAAGACGGUCCUAUGGAUUGUAAACUUCUUUUGUCCGGGAGCAAACGACGCCACGCGUGGCGUUCCGCAAGUACCCGCAGAAAAAGCAUCGGCUAAUUCCGUGCCAGCAGCCGCGGUAAUACGGAGGAUGCGAGCGUUAUCCGGAUUUAUUGGGGUUAAAGGGUGCGCAGGCGGAAGAUGAAGUUCUCGGGAAAAUUGGGAGGCUCAACCUGUUCGAGCCGUUGAAACUGGGUUUCUUGAGUGAGCGGGAGGUAGGCGGAAUGCGUGGUGUAGCGGUGAAAUGCAUAGAUAUCACGCAGAACUCCGAUUGCGAAGGCAGCAUACCGGCGCUCAACUGACGCUCAUGCACGAAAGUGUGGGUAUCGAACAGGAUUAGAUACCCGUGUAGUC